rnacentral:lncRNA from 1 species
GAUGAGAUAAUGGAUAAUAAAUAAAACCUAAAUAAAUAAUAUAGAUUGAGUGAGAUUGUUAAUAUGUUAUAGGUGUUUGGUAGUUAAGAUAUAAUCGUUGAGAUAACUAAUAUUUUUGUUUGAUAGACAAUAUAUAAGUUAAGAUUAAAUGAACAAAUUGUCUAAAAAAAGAUUAAUUUAGUAAAUUACCUUUUUGCCCUUUAUUUAAGAAAUAAAAAAAUAUAAAAAAAACUAUCAAAAAAUCUGAUAGUACACGUACCCCCACCCCAUUUUCUUCUUCUUCUCAUUCUCGCCACCCCCACCCAAAUUUGUUGUGCAGAUCAUCCCCCCCCAACCUCACCCCAAAUUUACAGUGCAGAUCCUCCCCCCACCCCCAACCCUUUUCUUCUUCUUCUCAGCCUCGCCAACCCCCAUCUGCCCAAUUUAUUCAACGAGAAUGCACCCCCUUGCACCAGAUCCAACCCCAUCUGCCCAACCCCCAACGGGCGACUCAAAGCGAGGCGAGGCGGGGCCCUAUCUUCGUCGACUCUUCGUCGUUCGCCGUCCAAAGGGACGAGACUCAAAGGGAGGCGAGGCGGCGGCAACUCUUCGUCGUUCGCCGUCCAGCCGCAAGAAUGAGAGCGGGCAAGGAGGGGGCCCUAUCAUCGGUCGGCAGCGGCUGAUGAGAGAGGCGAUGAUGGCGGCCCUCCGGCUGACUGAGGCUGUCGUGGCUGAGGGAAGGGAAGGGAGACGGCGGCGUGGUUGACGGAAGGCGAGAGGAGGACCGUGAGAGAGACGAGGGAGGCCAAAAUUGGAAGACCCAAAAUUAGUGUCAUCUACUGUAGAAAAGGGAUUGGGGGGAGGGGGGGCGAGGGCAGGGUUCCAUAAUCUAAGUGUAACAAUAGAAUUACAGCGGGCCUCGAUUUUCUUGCGGGCCGAGGCUAUAACUUAUGUUGCCUAUCAAACAUGCAAUUAGGGGAGAUAAAUAAGCUAAUACCCCCUUGUAACCCCUAACAAACAC